AUUGAACGCUAGCGGGAUGCUUUACACAUGCAAGUCGAACGAGUGGCGGACGGGUGAGUAAUAUAUCGGCACGUGCCCAGUAGCGGGGUAUCCCUACUCGAAAGAGUGGCUAAUACCGCAUACUAUUGGCACGGCCGAUAUCGGAUUAUCUAGUUGGUGGGGUAAAGGCACACAAAGGCAACGAUCCGCAGCUGGUGUGAGAGGACGACAAGCCACACUGGGACUGGUACACGGCCCAGACUCCUACGGGAGGCAGCAGGGGGGAAUUUUGGACAAUGGGGGAAACCCUGAUCCAGCCAUCCCGCGUGUAUGAGAAGGCCUUCGGGUUGGAAAGUACUUUUGGCAGAGAAGCGGUAUCGGCAGAAUAAGCACCGGCUAACUACGUGCCAGCAGCCGCGGUAAUUC
rnacentral:rRNA from 1 species